GACGAACGCUGGCGGCGUGCCUAAUACAUGCAAGUUGAGCGCUGAAGGUUGGUACUUGUACCAACUGGAUGAGCAGCGAACGGGUGAGUAACGCGUGGGGAAUCUGCCUUUGAGCGGGGGACAACAUUUGGAAACGAAUGCUAAUACCGCAUAAAAACUUUAAACACAAGUUUUAAGUUUGAAAGAUGCAAUUGCAUCACUCAAAGAUGAUCCCGCGUUGUAUUAGCUAGUUGGUGAGGUAAAGGCUCACCAAGGCGAUGAUACAUAGCCGACCUGAGAGGGGGAGCGGCCAAAUUGGGACUGGGACACGGCCCAAACUCCUGCGGGAGGCAGCCGGAGGGGAUCUUCGGCAAUGGACGAAAGUCUGACCGGGCAACGCCGCGUGAGUGAAGAAGGUUUUCGGGUCGUGAAACUCUGUUGGUAGAGAAGAACGUUGGUGAGAGUGGAAAGCUCAUCAAGUGACGGUAACUACCCAGAAAGCGACGGCUAACUACGUG
rnacentral:rRNA from 1 species